rnacentral:miRNA from 1 species
UCUUCAUUUGUCGUACUCUCUC